UCCUACGGGGCGCAGCAGUGGGGGAUAUUGCACAAUGGGGGGAACCCUGAUGCAGCGACGCCGCGUGGGUGAAGAAGCGCCUCGGCACGUAAAGCCCUGUCAGCAGGGAAGAAAAUGACGGUACCUGAAGAAGAAGCCCCGGCUAACUACGUGCCAGCAGCCGCGGUAAUACGUAGGUGGCGAGCGUUGUCCGGAUUUACUGGGCGUAAAGGGAGCGUAGGCGGAUUUUUAAGUGAGAUGUGAAAUACUCGGGCUCAACUUGAGUGCUGCAUUUCAAACUGGAAGUCUAGAGUGCAGGAGAGGAG
rnacentral:rRNA from 1 species